AAAUGAGUUUGCUGUGUGUUUUUUUUUUUUUUGAAGGUUAAAUGAAAGGGCCUUUAAACUACAGAGUUCUUUCUUUUAAUCCCCUCCCGUCCAAUAAAAUAUAGACAAGCAUAUAAACCUAGCUGGGAAUUAUGAACCUUAAAGGGAAGGCUUCCCUAGCUGGGAAGUUCUAACAUGGAUCCCAACAGAAAGAAGAGACUGGGUUCUUUCUGGGACCUCUCAGGAGGCAGGUCCCAGCUCAGGACCAGAAGCCAGAGCCUGGGCUGAGUGGCUGCUAUGAGGAAUGGAGAGGAGAUCCAACUGUGAGCACCGGGAGCUCAAACCCCAAAGCCCGGGAUCCUGCAGAGUCCUGGCGAGCUCCUUCCUCCUGGGCACCAAGCUCAGCAUCCCUGCCCUUGUUGCGUGGCAACCACAACUACGGGGCUGCAGAUGUGAAACUGAAUUCUGAGAUUUCACAUCGAAAGCCCUGUCUUUGCAUAAUGAAAACUGCCACCUGUAAAGGUGAUACUUAAAGGUCACAGCUGAAAAGGUCCUUUAUAAUUUUUUUUUAAGCGAACGUCAUUCCUUGUUAUGUGUCUCUAAAAACACUGCCCAGUGUUAAUCCCCUUCCUUGCCUCUCCAUCCCCUUCUGCUUCUGCCCUGCCCUAUCCUGAUUAUUUCAACCAUUUUCUACUUUGGUCAGUUUCCUAGGGAUUUGUUUCAAAUUUUCCAUUGCUAGGUAGACACCAGGCACUGGGCUGGCUGUUCCUUGGGUUAAUUCGCAGCCAAUGACUGAGAGGGGCUGACAAAGCUGAAAUUCACCACAGGAGUUUCUUCCCCUUCCUUCCCUUGUCAUGGCUCUGAUCUCCAUUGAUGUCUGUCUGGAGGGUGGGUUAAAAAAAAGGAAAUCUCACCCUAUGAAAAACCAAGCUGGGGAAUCAUUAAAGUCCUGUUUAAAACAAUGGCAGAGGGGCUGAAAGUCAGGGGCUGAUGGUAGCUGUGGAAGGUAGGGAAGAAGGCAGGAACUCUUUCAGAAUAAACCCUUUUCUAUUAGAGGGCACAGAAGCUGACAUCCUGUAGGAUCAUGAAUGGGGGGGCGGUGGCAGUGAGGGAGGGCUGGUGGCUCCAAGAAAUGGAUGUCUGGGUUGCUUAGCGCCAAAAGGGUAGGUGCCAUCAAGGAUGGAAUUUGAUGCUUGGAAGCCACUCAGUGGGCCCAGGCAACUCUGGCCUAUGCCUUCAGACUCACUCUUGCUGUGAGAUUGGGACUGCUGGUCUCAGCAGCACAGACUGAGAAUGGAGGCACUGUGUCACCUGCUGGCCCGGAUGGAAGCCAACUCAGAAAGGCCAAAGCCAGAAGCACCAGCUCCAGUGUGAAACUGCGGUGCAUAAUGCUGCCUACCCCACACCUGAGAUCUUUUCUCUAGAGUUUGGGAAUGUUUCAACUUCUCCCCGCACAGAUGCUGGGCCUCCUCGGUUGGAGGUCGCCCAGGAAAGGUAAAACAUUAUUCAUUUACACAAAAGGAACACACAGCAAUUCUCUGUGUUUUUGAUCUUUAAAAGUCCAUACUAUUACUUUGGUGGGGGGGUGGUGGUGGUGGAGGGUCAGAGGGUUGGGAAGGGUGUAGGGAGAUGAUUCAUUCCCUUGGCUCCUGUGUUGUCUCUGACCUCCAAGUGGAUGUCCCGCAGGUCUUGCCUAGUGUCAGGCAGCCAGGAUAGAACUGACCAGCUAGGUUACUGGGCAGGAGAGCUUCACCCAAGGGCUCCUUAUAUCAAGAGUAUUCUUUGAGAGGCAUAAGUCUAUUUUGGAUUAAAAAAAAAAACCCAUGUGUUCUUCAGGCCAAACUGCUUUCCAUCCCAUCCAAGAACGAUCCUGCUGCAUGGGAGCCUGCCACCGACUCCCAGGGACCAGGCAUCGUGGGGCCCGAGGAGCACUACAUCUGACUCAGGGGGGCUCCGGACCCAGUGGACAAACAGGCCAAGGUGCGCUGUUGCAGCAGUGUGACUUUUUUUUGGAAACAGGAAGAGCACUUAGCGAAACGUAUCCUCUGAUCCCAGUGGAAUGACGUAAGGCGAAACCUCCUCUCCCAAGCAGUUGCGCACGCCUCCUUCUGCCAGGCAGAAACCAGGCUAUGCGCUGCUCCGAUUCUCAUUGCAGUGAAGACCUUCUUGGUUUCAUUAACUCGUGCAAUAUUCUGAAGACUCCGUGAGUAAGGCUAUAAAGGUGCCAUGAGCUUAUCAGUCCAACAAGGUUUCCACAGGGGAUAGCUCAGACUCAGAAUUCAUUUUCCACACUUAAUGUAAAUGUAACCCAUAAAAGUCCCAUUUUUCUAAGAAGCCCAGCUCAGAAGGAAGCAUUUGGCUUCCCCUCCUGCUCUCCCAGAACCUCCUGUGAGUGGUAAUGAUGAUGGUAAUUAGGCAGACGAACCAGAUGCAAGGGGCUUCUACCUCUUGCUGCUACUCUUCCCUCCUCUUAAUGCUUCCCUGGCCCAUUGGCUGCUGCAUCUCCCUGGGCAUGCCCCCCAGGGGUGGGUUGUACCCAUUCCCUAGAGGGCAGCCACCUCUUCCCGAGGGCCUCAGGCAUAGGUCUUCACAGGGACAACUGUAGCCUGGGCUCCCUGAUGUGUGUGAGCAUAGGCCUGGGGAACCGACCCCAGUCCUGGGGCAGCAGAGGGGCAGGUGAGGGAGGGGGUUCGGUGACACUGCCAGGCCACACCAAAUUACCUCUUUUCUCCUUUCUCCUCAGUGUCUCUUUAAAACCCUGGACGGACUCCUCUAGAGGGGAAGCUGUUUUAGAAGUACUUCACAGAAGGAAUUUCCUGAAUGCCUCACCUGCUGCAUCCCAGCUGUGCUACUGGCCCAUGUAUGGGAGGCAGAGAAGCCUUCAGGAACUGGUGAGAAGACGCUUGGUUUAUGCCUUCCUCUCUUUGGCUGACUUUUUCUUAAGCAUCUUUCCAGAAUCAAAGGCCACCAAGCACCUCUCUCCAUACUCCUAUUUCUCAGUGGUGGAGCUGAGCAGUGGAGGGAAGAUACCCAAAGUCAUGGGGAGAAAGUUUCACCCAGGAAGGCAGGCUGGUACCUUUGCCGCCACUGCCAUCCUUUUGCCACAGGUGGCCUGGCCCUCCCUGGACCUUGUGCCCAGGUGGAGGGUGGCUGAGCCGUGCUGGUUCUCACAUCUGACUUUGGGAGAGAGGAAGAGAUGAAUAAUAAGGAACAUCAUGGGAAGACCGACCAACCACAGACAUCCUGGGUGCCUUUACCUUUUGGGAAGGAUGAGGCUCUUAGUCCCAGGAUGUUAUGUCACCAGACUGGGGGAAAGGACCUGGGGGACACUUUCUCCAUCCCAUCAUGAGGCUGGCACCAACAACUACACAGGAUUUGCAAAAGGGGUUGGGGGUUUCAUUUAGCAUCAAAAUAUAAAGCUUGGACAGGAGUUUGGGGCAACUUGAAAAAAGGUGCUGAG
rnacentral:lncRNA from 1 species